rnacentral:rRNA from 1 species
CAAUAGCGUAUAUUAAAGUUGUUGCAGUUAAAAAGCUCGUAGUUGGAUUUCUGGGAGGAUGCCAAUGUCCGCCCUCGUGCGUGUGCAGCGGCGUCUUUCCAUCCUUCUGUUAACAUCUCUUGGCAUUCAUUUGCUGGUGAUGGGCUCAGAUAUUUUACCUUGAGAAAAUUAGAGUGUUUCAGGCAGGCUAGGCCGGAAUACAUUAGCAUGGAAUAAUGGAAUAGGACUACGGUCUCUUUGUUGGUUUGAGGGACUGCAGUAAUGAUUAAUAGGGAUAGUUGGGGGCAUUAGUAUUUAAUAGUCAGAGGUGGAAUUCUCGGAUUUGUUAAAGACUAACUUAUGCGAAAGCAUUUGCCAAGGAUGUUUUCAUUAA